GGGGGCAUAGCUCAGUGGUAGAGCAUUCGACUGCAGAUCGAGAGGUCCCCGUUUCAACCAGGGUCAGAUUUCCCGGGUUGUCCCCU